UAAUGUUGAAGACUCUGGCGUCCAGACAGGAUCAUGCGCUCUGAAAACUCUGGCCCACCAUGAAAGUGAUCCUGCUUUACUAAGAGUUCCAGAUUCCAAGAUGGCCCCAUACAUGCAGCCCAGGAGAAAGGAGCUGCACCAGACACACUGGGAUUUGAGCUUUAACCGUCCUACUAAAGCUUGUCAGCUGUGUGCUCCCCAAAGGAGUACUUCCCUCUCUGUAAAGAGAAAGAAUUAAAGACUCUCCUUCCAGUAAGAGGAUCACAAUGGCCUUUAGCACACACUUCUGCCCUGGCUGUGUGUGCCACUGAAGCAAAACCAACCUCCUGCCAGAGGGUGCCUGGCAAGAGGUCAGCAGCAAGAUAAGCCACUCAAGGAUUACUGGAUCCAGGUGUGGACAAGGGUAGAUCAGAAGCGAGAAGGCCAGGAAAGCAAUUCAAGAGGGCAGGAAACAUCUGGAAGGUUCAUGCCUCCCUUGAGGGCUUUGAGGGGUGGAUGUUGUCCUGUCUAGUAUCAGGAAGCAGGGCUCUAGCCAUGAGCUCCAAAGAGCUGGUACAAAACUGUUUCUGGGGCUUGAAUGGACCAAGCCCAGAGGCCAGUAUCUGAAGCCAGGGAAUAAAGUCAGAGUGGGAGAAGAAAGGGCAAUUAGACACUGAGUUGGGUUGGAAAACUACUGGGCUAGGACCGAGAUUAUAACUUAACAGUCAAAAACAACAAUAAUGGUAAACAUAAGGGGUUCAUUCUUCUAACAUUCAACAAUCUUGCUAUGCUCCAGGGGUACAGAUAAAUAAAACUAUUCCCUUAUGGCAAGGAGCUCACAGAAAGCUGGAGGAAAACAGCCCUGUAAACUCAACAUUUUAACAGAGCAACUGGAAUGCUUUAGGAUAAAGAGGCUCAAAGUACUAUGGGAGCUUCAAGGAAGGGGCCAUUAACUCUGCCUGGGAAUCCUGGGGAAGGCUGCACAGAGACAGAGAUAUUUUGAACUGUGUUUUGAAUGAUGAAUACCAGGUUCCUCUGUUGGAAAGAGAGGCAGGCAUUCCAAACAACAGAGAGAACACCAUGGGCAAAAGCAGAGCUCUGUGCAGGACGGUGGCACAUCAUCAGAGUACGGAGCAUUGGUAGGAGGGGUCCUUAGAGGAGAAGCAGAGGGACAGGAGGAGGGGAGGAGAGGAGAGAGAGGACAGGACCAAGUCAGGGAGAGUCAGCAUAGCUGGUCUGAGUGUGGACCUGACGCACAGGUGGCAAGGGACCAUUGAGAGUCUGUUGACAUUGAUUAGGCUUCUUUGGUUAUAAGCAACAGAAACAAGUUCUCACUUACUUAAACAAGAAAAAAAAAAACAUGUCAUAGAGGGAAAACAGGUGGUUCCCACACCUGUUGGAGAAUGAGGAGUGUAGGGAAGGGACUGGAAUCAGGGCUGGCCUGGACUGCAGACUGCAGGAACAGGCCACAAUGUCUUCAAGGAGCUGUUGCCCCCAGGACAAGUCAAUUUCACCCCACUCCACUGGCCAGCCACAGUCCAGGGAAGAGUCUGACACAGGGCUGGGGUCACAUGCCCGCCUCCUGGUUGGCAGUCUCACCAAGAUCAUCCACUGUGGGUGGUGCUUCCCCAAAAGGAAAUCAGGGUUCUAGAACCAGAAGGGGAUUGACGCAGGUGCUGCCAGAGCUUGAUACUUGUGUGCCUCUAGUGUUUAAGCCAGAAAAUGACAAACACACAGUGCAGGGAUCAGCUAACUUUUCCUGUAAAUGGCCAGAGAGUAAAUAUUUUCAGCCUUGUGGAUCAUAUGGUCUCUAAGGCAGCUACUCAACUUGGCUGUUAUAGCCCAAAGCAGACAGACCACACGUAGACCAAUGUCUUUACUGCUUGCCAGGAAAGCUGUAUUAAUAAAAACAUAUAGUGGGCCCGAUUGACCCCUGGUUUAGAGCCAUAUUAGGGCAUAAGAGAAAUACAGAAGGUUAGGAAACUGAAAGGAAAGAGACCAAACCAGAAACUGGUCUGUCUAUAAAACCACGUCCUGGCCAGGCGCGGUGGGUCACGCCUGUAAUCCCAGCACUUUGGGAGACCAAGGUGGGCAGAUUGCCUGAGCUCAGGAGUUCAAGACCAGCCUGGGCAACAUGGUGAAUCCCCAACUCUACUAAAAUACAAAAAAAUUAGCCAGGCAUGGUGGCAUGCACCUUUAGUCCCAACUACUUGGGAGGCUGAGGCAGGGGAAAUGCUUGAACCCAGGAGGCGGAGGUUGCAGCAGUGAGCCAAGAUCGCGCCACUGUGCUCCAGCCUGGGUGACAGAGUGAGUGAGACUCCGUCUCAAAAAAAAAAAAAAAGCCAACAAAAAAACACAUCCUAUGGGCUGUCAUGCUAAGUGCGUCCUAUGGGGAAAAAAUUCUCUACAUUUUUCCUCUUUGGGACACUCCCAGGCAAAGCAUCCCUUUUACAAACUUCCUUUUCACAAGCAUUAAGUUCUGUUUCUUCAUGCAUUCAACUUGUUUCUUAAUUGUUUGUUUCUGAAGUGGGUUCUAUUUGUUUGGUGUGUUUUGUAAGCCUUUCAUUCUGGCAAAGGUAGCCACAGUUCUCCUCAGCAGGAUACCAGGCACGUAUUGACUGUUUUUUGAAAAAAUUGCACUGUAACCACAGGUUUCCUGGUGUGGUACACCUGUAUUUAUUGGAGUCAAUUUUUAGAAAUACAACAAUACAACUGCUUCCACACUUUCCGGGUUGCUGUUUCACUCACUGCUUGCAACCCUCAGAGCCUUUCUCCAUACUGCUCUAAGACAUGACAGCUUGGGCAAGAAGUGGCUGGAACGUGGAGAUGGCGCGCACAACCGUGGCCAGGCAAAAGCCUAGCCCUCUUUUGUAAUCACCUCUUCGGUGUGAGGCAAUAUGCUGUGAAUUAGUGUGUUCCAGGCCCAGAGUGGUAACAUAUGGUGUAUCUCUGCUCAUUCUACAUUAAAUCCUGACAUUUUGCAGCUGUCAAGAUAAAGCUGUUUAUAUGAGUAACAUUGUAGUUUGUUUAUAG
rnacentral:lncRNA from 1 species